ACCGUAUGAAAAAGUUACAUCUAUCCACACAGAAAAUUGCAUCUCAACAAACCUGUCAUUGGUACGCGAACUACAUUUUAGUCACUCAGUAAAGUGAUAACUCAAAAUAUCAUUGUCAACAGAUCUGGAGAAAUUGCCACUGCGUCUUUAGACCGUUUUCGUCAGACGAGAGACACAGUUCUGACUCUGAUUACUGGUUGCUGUACGUAUCUAUCCACAUCAAGGCUGUUGAGAGAGACUCGUGAAGAUUCAAGACAGCUCUUAGAAGAUUUUGCAGUUUAAAAGUGAC